rnacentral:rRNA from 1 species
UUUUAAAUUGAUUAAUUUUUUUUAAUUGUUAUUAUAUUUUUAAUUUAAGUUUAAUUAAUAAUUUUUUGUUUUAGUAUUUAUUUUGAAUAAAUUAUUUUAUUUAUAGUUUAUUUGUACUGUUAAGGGUAUUUACUUUAAUUUUCAAAGUAUAAAUAUUUUAGUACCUUUUGUAUCAGGGUAUAUUAAAUAAUUGAUAUUUAUUUAUUAUUCUCGAAUUGAUUAGAUCUAAUUUAUUAUGUUAUUUAUAGUUGUAUAUAUAUUAUUUAUUUUAAAUUAGGUGUGAUAUGCUAUUCAUUAAUUAAUAUAUCUAGUUUUUUAAUAAUUGAAUUUAAUUCAGCUAUAAAUUUAUAAAUUGUGUAAUUUUUAUAUAUUUUAUUUUUUUAUAGUAAAAUUUUAGGGGGUUAGCUCUAGUUUUGUUUUUAAAAUUAUUUUUUUUUAAUGAAAAAUAGGUUUUGUAAUGACCAUUUUUAAUUAGUAUUUUAUAAUUUAUUAUUUUUUAUAUUUGAUUUAUUUUUAUUUAAUUAUUUAUUGAAAUGAUUCAAUUAAUAAUUUGUUGAUUGUAAUAAUGAUUUAAUUAGUAUAUUUUUUUUUUAUUAUGUAAUAUUUUUAUAAAAUAUUUAUAAGGAAUUAGGCAAUUAUAUUUAUUCGCCUGUUUAUCAAAAACAUCUUUUCUUGUUUAUAUUUGAAAUUUAACCUGCCCAAUGAUUAAUUAAAUGGCCGCGGUAAUUUGACCGUGCAAAGGUAGCAUAAUCAUUAGUUUAUUAAUUGUGAACUUGUAUGAAUGGUUGGACGAAAUAUUGACUGUCUCUUUUAUAUUAUUAGAAUUUAAAUUUUAAGUUAAAAUGCUUAAAUUUUCUUAUUGGACGAGAAGACCCUAUAGAUCUUUAUUUCCUUUAUUUAUAAUUAUUUAGUUUAUAUUUUUUGUAAUUUUAUGGAUGUUUUGUUGGGGUGACAUAAGGAUCUAUUAUUAACUCCUUAUAUUUUUGGACAUUGAUUUUUGAAUAAUUGACCUUUUAUUAUUGUAAUAAGAUUUAGAUACCUUAGGGAUAACAGCGUAAUUCUUUUUGAGAGUUCAUAUCGACAAAGGAGAUUGCGACCUCGAUGUUGGAUUAAGAUUAAAAUUAGGUGUAGGUGCUUGAUUAGUUAGGUCUGUUCGACCUUUAAAUUCUUACAUGAUCUGAGUUCAAACCGGCGUGAGCCAGGUUGGUUUCUAUCCAUAAUAUUAUAUUUUAUAUUAGUACGAAAGGACCAUAUAAUUUAAAUAAUUUAUUUUAUUGAUUGAUAUU